UUGUCUAUGCUGGUAAGAUACAACAUCAGUGGGAUUCAGUAUAUAGACGGCAUGUCCCUUUCGUUGAGAUUGCCCUAAUGAAUUUCCGACGGGAGAUAAUUUUUCUACGCCUAAGUCAACAGCAUGCUGGUCAUCACUUGUACCAUUUGCAACGCACAGAAAAUCUGUUCGAGAAGAUUGCUGUUACUUACGUACAGUUAAAUUGAAGGGAUCAAUGCCUGCAAACUAUGAGGGAGAGCACAUUCUUCUUCUCUCCUGACAUUAAUGAUGAUGAUCAUUAUCUACAUGAUAUCCACGAAGUCAGCCUGAUGACUUAUGACGAAACACUUUCUUACGUCAAUGACCGCGUUCAAGCCAGGAAGAAUGGACGCUAGAGUAACUUUUGUAUCAACAUGGUGCAUGCAACAUGUCGUUGCCAAAUGUCGUUAUAUCUCUUUUUGGUUUAAUGGUGCAUUAUAAUCAAUAAAAUAGUAUGAUCAA